GAAAGUUUCAACAAAUCCUGUUUUUAUUGGCCCCACCAAGCACUCCUGAUUCUUUGAGUUGCUUGUUGCCGCUAAUUCCUGAGGCAAGAUUCUCAGGUAAAAUCAGCCUCUCUGUUAGCUUUCCUCAUGACAGGCUCAGGUUCCAGCUUUCUUGGGUCUGCCACGUCAAGGGCGGCUUCUCCAUCCCCCAUUUUGCAAUUUCCAAAAUAUUGAUUCCGGUUUCCCUCUGAACCUUCUCUCUCAUUUUCUUUGUCUUUGCAGAUUUAUGCCUUUUUUCUUUCUUCAUUGUCACUUUAGGAUAGUUUCAGAAGGAGGCUGAAAUAAACAGUUUCAGAGUUAUCCCUUCAUAACAACUUGGAAGGACAUUUUCAAAUGUAGCAUUCUCAAGCUUCUCAAGGUUCCAGCUAGGACAUGGAAAUGUGGAACGAGCUGACUCCAUCCUCUGGCUUCCAGCUUAUGGCUUGUCUCUCUUCUCUUCCAUCCCAGUUCAGAUUCUCACUAGAAACACAGAAGGACAAAGGGCUGGCCCCAGCUCAUGCAAGUGUGAGACCAAGGAAACUUCCUGGCUUUCGUCAUUUAUUUAGCACGUUGAGGCAGCCAGUUAGCUCAGAACAUUCUGAAAAACGGUGGCGACUCAGAUUCCUGGGAAAGACCCUGAAUUACUUGAACCUGUGUGAAAAAAUUCUGACACUGAACACACCUUCAAAUACUGACAAAUGUGGAUUGGUUUCAGCACACCCAGCCUCUGUGAGAACUUGGAUGCUUUUUCAGACUUAAAUUCAGCUUAUUUACAUUUCUGCAGCAUAUAAAUUACAGCCAGAGGAAGCAUUAAGCAAGUCUUGCCUCCUGAGGUGAAAGAAAGAUUAGAAGACUCUGUUCAGCACAGGGAAUCCAGCUGAAGGACUGUGUUACAGUGGGUCAGAGUGAGAACAGGCAACAUUGUGCCUGGUGGUGGCCUGGAGGCCACUGAGGCAACAGCCAUAGGACUGUCCCAGGGGGCUUUGGCUCCUGUUGACUCUCCCGGGUGGUAGCACAGCCCAAGGGGAAAGAAAGCCCCUUUGUUAUUCUCCAACUCCACUCAUGGAAGGAGUCCCCAUCAUUGAUGUCAGCUCACUUCACAACUAAGUUUUGUGACCAGGGAACCAG
rnacentral:lncRNA from 1 species